CGGAGGUGCAAGCGUUAAUCGGAAUUACUGGGCGUAAAGCGCACGCAGGCGGUCUGUUAAGUCAGAUGUGAAAUCCCCGGGCUUAACCUGGGAACUGCAUUUGAAACUGGCAGGCUUGAGUCUCGUAGAGGGGGUAGGAAUUCCAGGUGUAGCGGUGAAAUGCGUAGAGAUCUGGAGGAUACCGGUGGCGAAGCGGCCCCUGGACGAAGACUGACGCUCAGGUGCGAAAGCGUGGGAGGCAAACAGGAUU
rnacentral:rRNA from 1 species